rnacentral:rRNA from 1 species
GACGAACGCUGGCGGCGUGCUUAACACAUGCAAGUCGAACGGAAAGGCCAUGCUUUUGUGCGUUGCUCGAUUGGCGAACGGGGGAGUAUCACGUGAGUAUCCUGCCCUUGACUUUGGGAGAACUUCAGGAAACUGGGGCUAAUACCGGAUAGGAGCUCCUGCUGCAUGGUGGGGGUUGGAAAAUUUCGGCGGUUGUGGAUGGACUCGCGGCUUAUCAGCUUGUUGGUGGGGUAGUUGCUUACCAAGGCUUCGACGGGUAGCCGGCCUGAGAGGGUAACCGGCCACAUUGCGACUGAGGUACGGCCCAGACUCGUACGGGAGGCAGCGGGGGGGAAUAUGGCACAAUGGGCGGAAGCCUGAUGCAGCAACGCCGCGUGCGGGAUGCCGUCCUACUGGUUGUAAACCGCUUUCGCCGGUGACGAAGCGUGAGUGACGGUACCGAGUAAAGAAGCACCGGCUAACUACGUG